CUGCAUAUGUUAUCUUGGUAUGAUUAUUUCUUCUGUCUUAAGGAGCCGGAGACUGAAGCUUAGGGAAGUUGAUGUGCCGACUGUCUGCUAGACAGCGGUGGAAGAAGUGGCAUCUGAAACCAGACCUGACUUAAAGAAAUUCAUGAACAUGGACAGAACUGAAUUCCCAGACCCAAGAGUGAAAAAGGAAAAAGCCCACUGAUGGAAACAGUGUUUUUGAGUGAGAGGAGAGCCUUUGCUGAUGAUGCCGGAGGAUGUCCCCACGGAGAUGUUGGAAGAAACUCUGUUUGAGGCGACUCACCUGUACCUGUUCAAGUUUGAGGUAGGAAGUCGUAUGUCAUCUGCGUUGUGCACAUUUCUGGAUCAGCACUACAGUGCCAGGCGCUCAGAUCCCAGUGCAUGGAUGGUCAAAUUAGCUUUCACUGAGCUUUCAUUAGCUGAAAAGAAAACUAGUCCGUCUAGCUGUCAUGGCAUUUGUGGUGAUGAAUCAAGAGGAUCACAAAGCAUAGGAAACAGCAAUCAUCCGCACCUGUUGCCAAUUAAAGCAUUAAUGGCACAUCAAUCAAAGAGAAAUCACUGGGAAUGGAGAUGACACAGGCUCUGUGCUCCUGUCAGUUUUUUGGAAGUCAUCCUCUAUUUCAACAGUAAGUGAAACCCGCAAGCCACACCCUCCAAAUGCAGUCUCUACUUCUUGGAACAGAUUUCAGCAGCUGAAUUCUUCAGUUUGCAAGGCCACAUGCACUUCCCUGUAGAGAAAUUGUUGUCUUAGAUUUAAAAAGUAACAAUGUUACUAUCUUAGUUGUUUUUCUGUAGCUGGGAUGAAAUACUCUGACAAAGAGAAUUUAAGAGCAAGUAGAUUCAUCUCAGGUCACAGUUUGAGGUAUAGCCCACCACGACAGGAGCUUGAGGCAGCUGGUCAUGGUCAAGAAACAGAACAAUGAAUGCUCGUGUUCAGCUCACUUUCUCCUGUCCAGGGUCUAAGCCAAGAGAAUGGUGCCACUCACAGUGGCAGGUCUCCCCAGCCCAACUAAUUUAAUCAAGAUAUUCUCCACAGGCAUGCCCAGAGGGCCAUCUCCGACAUCUUAUCAACUUGACAACUGAGUUAAAUUAUCAGUUUCUACACAUGUGUAGAGUGGUUGGGGACUGUUCAUAUUUUUUUUUUUUAACCAAGCUUGAUAAGACUUAAUGACCAGGAUUACAUAAAGCAGGGUAGUGCUAACUGUUCAAGAAGUAUGGUACUGGCCCUGUCUGUAUAGGUUUCUCUGUGAACACAGGAGGCAGUCAUAGCACCCACACCAAGAAGUCUACUGAGGAGGAGGCUGGGCUUUCUAGCAUCUUGUUAUGACUGGGUCAAUGGUGCUCAAGCAUGGCUUGCAUUGAGAUUUGAGAUGAGGCUGGAGGUUGUGAGCAAAAGGAGUAAUAAGUGCAUGGAUUACUGAAGCAGAUGUAUUCAGGUUCCGGGUCCCCGUCUGUCCGGGGUUUAUCCUCUUAGUUGAUCUAAUGACCGGUAGCCCAUGGUCUAGGGUUCUAACUGUGAACGUUGAGCAGAUGUGACAUAAAGUAAAGAGGGUGACCAUGUCUCUGACAUAUACGAUGGACAGGUUGAUCAGGAGUGGCCAACUUUCUGAUAUUAACGGACAGUGUUGCCAUGUACAAAAUUUGUGCUUUGGAAUUCUAUAAGCAAGGUCCUAUUUAUUUGUCUUUUGUGUGUAUAUGUGUGUGCUUAUUUCCAUACACACAUCACAAAGCUUCCUCAUGCUUUGUGUUCAUAGCUACCUUGGACUGAAUCCAUCCAGUGGAGUGUGGGUUGCAUAUGCCUGUUAGAAGACAGAGGCAAAUUAUAGGUGUCCAAUUCAUCUCUGCUGAUUAAUGGAAUAAAGAAGACCCAGUGCCUGCCUGUCA
rnacentral:lncRNA from 1 species